rnacentral:rRNA from 1 species
GCCAUGCGAGUUGAGAGGGGUAAGCCCUCGGCAUAUUGCUCAGUAACACGCCGUAACUGCCCUUGGGUUUGGGAUAACCCCGGGAAACUGGGACUAAUACCGGAUAGAUCAAAGAAACUGGAAUGUUCUUUGGUCGAAAGCUCCGGCGCCCAAGGAUGGGUCUGCGGCCUAUCAGGUAGUAGUGGGUGUAACGUACCUACUAGCCUACGACGGGUAAGGGUUGUGAGAGCAAGAGCCCUGAGAUGGAUUCUGAGACAUGAAUCCAGGCCCUACGGGGUGCAGCAGGCGCGAAAACUUUACACUGCGGGAAACCGCGAUAAGGGGACCCCGAGUGCCAGCACCUAGUGCUGGCUGUCCAGCUGUUCAAAAAACAGUUGUUAGC